ACAUCGACUAAGAAGAGAUAAGUACUUCUCAAGCGUCGCCCAGAGAGUUAAUGGUUGGUGUGAAUUAACGGACGCGCGAGUUGGAAAAUGGUCUUGGAGUCUUAAUGACGUGAGCAAAGUGUUAGCGUCGCUCGGGUGCGCCCGUUAUCGCGCUUAGGUAUCGUCGGUAUACGACCGUACUGAAAGAGGAUGGUCUUUAUUUUUUGGACCAUUGAACCCGGGUGGUAACACGUGAAAACGUCCCGUAG
rnacentral:ncRNA from 1 species